CACAAGAGCUCAACAUACUCCACUCAAAUUCAAGCAAAAGCCACAGGAGCUCAACUUAUUUCACUGAAACUAAUACAAAAGCCAUAAGAGCUUAAAAUACUACACUGAAACUGAAGCAAAAGCCACUAGAUCACAGCAUACUACACUAGAAACAAAAGCUGCCACAAGGGCUCAACAUACUACACUGAAACUAAAGCAAAAGCCACAA
rnacentral:lncRNA from 1 species